GACGAACGCUGGCGGCGUGCUUAACACAUGCAAGUCGAACGGAAAGGCCCUGCUUUUGUGGGGUGCUCGAUUGGCGAACGGGUGAGUAACACGUGAGUAACCUGCCCUUGACUUUGGGAUAACUUCAGGAAACUGGGGCUAAUAUCGGAUAGGAGCUCCUGCUGCAUGGUGGGGGUUGGAAAGUUUCGGCGGUUGGGGAUGGACUCGCGGCUUAUCAGCUUGUUGGUGGGGUAGUGGCUGACCAAGGCUUUGAAGGGUAGCCUGCCUGAGAGGGUGACCAGCCACAUUGGGACUGAGAUAGGGACCAGAAUCCUACGGGAGGCAGCAGUGGGGAAUAUUGCACAGUGGGCGGAAGCCUGAGGCAGCAGCGCCGCGUGCGGGAUGACGGCCUUCGGGUUGUAAACCGCUUUCGACUGUGACGAAGCGUGAGUGACGGUAAUGGGUAAAGAAGCACCGGCUAACUACGUG
rnacentral:rRNA from 1 species